UUUUGACCGUGCAAAGGUAGCGCAAUCACUUGUCUCUUAAAUAGAGACCUGUAUGAAUGGCUAGACGAGGGCUUAACUGUCUCCCCCUUCCGGUCAGUGAAAUUGAUCUAUCCGUGCAGAAGCGGGUAUAAUUAUACAAGACGAGAAGACCCUUUGGAGCUUAAGGUACAAAAUUCAACCACGUUAAACGACUCUACAUGAAGCAAGAACUUAGUGGCGAAUGAAAUUUUACCUUCGGUUGGGGCGACCACGGAGGAGAAAAAAGCCUCCGAGUGGACUGGGCUAACCCCCAAAGCCAAAAGAUACAUCUAUAAGCCGCAGAACAUCUGACCAAAAAUGAUCCGACUGAUAAAGCCGAUCAACGAACCAAGUUACCCUAGGGGAUAACAGCGCAAUCCUCUCCCAGAGUCCAUAUCGACGAGAGG
rnacentral:rRNA from 1 species